NNNNAGACAAACCCUGAAUUUCCGUGUCCAACGUUUGACCGUCCGUCUUAUUUAAAAAAAUAUGAAAAAAAUUAAAAAGACAAGUUACGCAUAAAGUAUUAAUCAUGUUUUAUCAUCUAACAACAAUGAAAAUACUAAUUAUAAAAAAAAUUCAUAUAAAACGAAUAGUCAAACGUUGGACACGAAAAUUUAGGAUUUGCGUUUUUU
rfam:Oryza barthii chromosome 5, whole genome shotgun sequence.